UUUGCGGUAAAAUGACUGAUAAAAGUAGUAAACUGUAAAUUUACGAAUGAAAUAUUUAAUUUCUUU
rnacentral:tRNA from 1 species